rfam:Spathaspora passalidarum NRRL Y-27907 unplaced genomic scaffold SPAPAscaffold_3, whole genome shotgun sequence.
GGUUCUAUGGUCUAGUGGUAUGACGUCUCUCUCACUCAGAGAAGGUCUCGAGUUCGAUCCUCGAUGGAACCA